rnacentral:lncRNA from 1 species
GAUUAUAGAAGAUACUUUAGCGAUGAGUUUUAUAACAGAUUGUGGAUUGGAUGAACCAUAUUCAUUUGCAACAUGAUGUUUAGUACCAGGACUCUUCCCUGUCAUUGGUUUCCUUCAAGAAGAGAAAUACAGCACAGUGCCCGGUCCAGUGGCUUGAUUUGAUGUUUCUACCUGGAACAUGUGGUGUGUUCUCAGUGCCUGUGUCUGAGUCAUAUCAUUGAUCUUUCAUUUAUUUUCUCUGAUCCUCACCAUCCAUCUCCAUCAAGAGCAAAGGAGGAAAGAUCAAAGAAGGUUAAUAUUAGUGUGCAUGCUAUGUGCUAAUCGAAAUUAAAUUGCUUUCACAAACCUUUUUCCCCUGAUCCAUUGCACAAAUGCCUUAACAUAAAGCUAAACAUCUGUUGAGUAUGGAUGUCCUCUGAAAUGGGUGAUACAUGAUUAUAAAACAGUUCAGGUUGCUUCUAUGAAAGAAGCAGUAUUACACGUAGUGCAUUAAAUGAUGAAAUUGGAGCUUAGAGAUCUGAACUGGUAUAUUCUGGCU